GCCUCCUUAGCUCAACUGGCAGAGCAAUCGUUUUGUAAGCGAUAGGUUAUCGGUUCGAUUCCGGUAGGAGGCU
rnacentral:tRNA from 1 species